rnacentral:tRNA from 1 species
GAGGGUAUAGCUCAGUGGUAGAGCACGUGCCUAGCAUGUAUGGGGUCCUGGGUUCAAUCCCCGGUACCUCCA